rnacentral:rRNA from 1 species
GGUUAAGUGACUAAGCGUACACGGUGGAUGCCUUGGCAGUCAGAGGCGAUGAAGGACGUAGUAACUUGCGAUAAGCGUAGAUGAGGCAGUAACAGCCACUUGAGUCUACGAUUUCCGAAUGGGGAAACCCACUGGCAUAAGCCAGUAUCAUUGAGUGAAUACAUAGCUCAAUGAAGCGAACCGGGAGAACUGAAACAUCUAAGUACCCCGAGGAAAAGAAAUCAACCGAGAUUCCGAAAGUAGCGGCGAGCGAAAUUGGAUUAGCCCUUAAGCUUUACAUGUGUUAGACGAACGGUCUGGAAAGUCCGACGAUACAGGGUGAUAGUCCCGUAGUUGUAGAUGCAUGUUCAGUGAAAUCGAGUAGGGCGGGACACGUGUUAUCCUGUCUGAAUAUGGGGGGACCAUCCUCCAAGGCUAAAUACUCCUGACUGACCGAUAGUGAACCAGUACCGUGAGGGAAAGGCGAAAAGAACCCCUGUGAGGGGAGUGAAAUAGAACCUGAAACCGUGUACGUACAAGCAGUAGGAGCACCUUCGUGGUGUGACUGCGUACCUUUUGUAUAAUGGGUCAGCGACUUAUAUUCAGUGGCAAGGUUAACCAUCUAGGGGAGCCGUAGGG